ACAUAGCCCCGAUUGGAACAGCGCCGGAGGCGUUCGGCUUUGCCGAAUGCAGCGUAUAGCGGAACUGUGGAAAGCGGGUUUGUGA
rnacentral:misc_RNA from 1 species